AGUGCCUAGAUGGUGCUGGUGAGCACUGAGAGCUGUGGGAAUGGUACAAAACUGCAGACCUCACAGUUUCAGCUCACAUUCAGGGGUGACAGGUAAGAGGAGUGCUCACAGUCAGUUCUCAUCAUGCGUGGCAGGACUAAAUCAUUAUGAAUACACUGAAUACUGAUUUUGGGGACAUCAAGUCUCUCUAACUGCUGUGGAUCUUUGCUUCUUACAGAAAAGGCACAAUCUCAGCAGCUGGUCAUAUUAAGACAUCCGGAGCUGAAGGAGCAUUGCUUAAGCUGACCCAGGGAUUGAGAGAUGAAUCUAUGGCCUAUAUUUACCACUGUCAGAACCACUACUUCUGUCCUGUGGGCUUUGAAGCUACACCAUUAAAAUCAGCCAACGCUUACAGGGGACCACUUGCUCUGAAUGAAAUGGAGCAUUGGAUUCUUAUUGGGGAACCAAGCAGGAAACAUCCUGCCAUCCACUGUAAAAAAAGUACCUUUUCCUUUUAUUAUUCAACUGCAUAUGAUGAUUAGUCAGUGUGGGUUACUCUGUGUCAUUAUGUUCUCCCCAUGUCUGCAUGGGUUUCCUCACCCCCCCGUAAAAAAAAACCUAUCCUGGUAGGUGGAUUGGCUACACUUCACCCACUAAGUGUGAAGGUGUGUGUGUGAUCCACCACCCAGGGUGUAUUCUUGCCUCACGCCCAGUGUUCCUGGGAUAGGCUUCGGAUCCAAAGACCUUCUGACUAAUCAGAUUCAAACAUUUUAAAGUUGCUACUGCUAAUACUAUUUUAUAUUAAUAAUAUAGUAUUAAUAUAUUAUUAAUUCGUUAUUUUCUUAGUAAAUACUGACUUCUUAGACCAUCUGUCAUUUUGUGGGCUAUGUCUCAGAGAACAAAAUAUACAGUUGCAGUCACGGGUGUUAAUCUAGAUGCCAUGCAGCUGUGCCCCACACGCUGGAGUGAUGCAGAUGCUACUGACUCUUACACAACUCUUUAACUGUCAAACAUGAAAAAAACAGAAAAGCGUGAAGAGCCGUUUUAAAGGCCUUGUGCUGUGGUUAGAGUUCUGCUGGAACAGAGAAGCAGCUUAAAUACACAGAACAAAUUUACAUAACACUCCUCAACUGUAGUUGAUGAGUCUAAUUCUAAAAUGAAAAAUUUAACCUCAAGCUAAUGGUAGUGAUUGAAGAGAAAAUCAAAAUAACUUUUUAGGAAUAUUUGAUCUGAUUUAUUGAUUUAUUUCCACAAAGCCUUCUUCCAAUGUCAUUCAUUGCAUUGCAAACAUUAAACAAACACUUCAGGGCACAGUGAAGACGUGAUAAUGUUCAUCACAAGAAAAGUGAUACUGCUUAUUUUUCACACGAAAACAUGAGGAAACUGAAAGUUUUACAGUCUUUAUAGUCUUGAAUGUAUAAUUAUAGUCAAGCUAUUAGUCCUUAACAGCAUUCAAAACAGUGUUACUGUGAAUGUAGACUUUAAUACAUUGAAGACACACUAUAUUAUAUAUUAUAUGUAUAUAUCUGCCCACGUUUGACAUUUUUCCUCCAUUCUUUUGAAUGUCCAUGGAAUAAAAUAAAAUAUCAGAUGCCAUGAGUGAACCUUCUGCCAUCAUUUACCCAUUUGAAUGGCCAUGUAAUAUGAACCAAUGUGAUAACAUGAAAUUAAAAAUUACCUUACAUAUGGCCAUGGGCAUUGUUUCAACUCAGGACAGCUGUCAUUUGCUGCUAUUGUCAAGCAACUGACGCCGUACACUUUGGACAUUCGCUGAGAAUAGGCUAAUGGUUGAGAGGCAGAAAUUUAGCCAAUAGUUGUUGCAAGCCUUUUAUAAUCAAUAUUGCUGAUGUUCACAAAAUAAAUUUAUUUACUCAAAGGGACAACAAUUUACUAAACUGUUAAUUUUAUAAUAUAGAAUUAUAAUAUAGAAUAAUUUAAUAAUGUAAUAUCUGUAUUUUACUGUAAUAAUGUAAUAAUAUAAUAAUGGAAUAUCUGUAUGAUACUAAAUACUAUUAGUUUUAUUAUUAUUA